rnacentral:rRNA from 1 species
GAUGAACGCUGGCGGCGUGCCUAAUACAUGCAAGUCGAGCGAACAGACGAGGAGCUUGCUCCUCUGACGUUAGCGGCGGACGGGUGAGUAACACGUGGAUAACCUACCUAUAAGACUGGGAUAACUUCGGGAAACCGGAGCUAAUACCGGAUAACAUGUUGAACCGCAUGGUUCAACAGUGAAAGACGGUCUUGCUGUCACUUAUAGAUGGAUCCGCGCCGCAUUAGCUAGUUGGUAAGGUAACGGCUUACCAAGGCAACGAUGCGUAGCCGACCUGAGAGGGUGAUCGGCCACACUGGAACUGAGACACGGUCCAGACUCCUACGGGAGGCAGCAGUAGGGAAUCUUCCGCAUUGGGCGAAAGCCUGACGGAGCAACGCCGCGUGAGUGAAGAAGGUCUUCGGAUCGUAAAACUCUGUUAUUAGGGAAGAACAAAUGUGUAAGUAACUAUGCACGUCUUGACGGUACCUAAUCAGAAAGCCACGGCUAACUACGUG